UACAGAGGUGGCAAGCGUUGUUCGGAAUUACUGGGCGUAAAGGGCGCGUAGGCGGCCUUCUAAGUCAGACGUGAAAUCCCCCGGCUUAACCUGGGAACUGCGUCUGAUACUGGGAGGCUUGAGUAUGGGAGAGGGAUGUAGAAUUCCAGGUGUAGCGGUGAAAUGCGUAGAUAUCGGGAGGAACACCGGUGGCGAAGGCGGCGACCUGGGUUGACAUUGACGCUGAGGCGCGAAAGCGUGGGGAGCAAACAGG
rnacentral:rRNA from 1 species